GGGAAUAUGGCUUAGCGGUAGAGUGCUUGCCUAGCAUGCAUGAAGCCCUGGGUUCGAUUCCUCAGUACCA
rfam:Dipodomys ordii contig_48525, whole genome shotgun sequence.